rnacentral:rRNA from 1 species
UACGGAGGGGGCUAGCGUUGUUCGGAAUCAUUGGGCGUAAAGGGCGCGUAGGCGGCCGAUCAAGUCGGAGGUGAAAUCCCUCGGCUCAACUGAGGAACUGCCUUCGAUACUGUUCGGCUUGAGUCCUGGAGAGGGUAGCGGAAUUCCCGGUGUAGCGGUGAAAUGCGCAGAUAUCAGGAGGAACACCAAUGGCGAAGGCAGCUCGCUGGAACGGUACUGACGCUGAGGCGCGAAAGCGUGGGGAGCGAACAGG